rnacentral:lncRNA from 1 species
AAAAAAUUACACAGGUCAGAUGUCUAAUCCCAGCACACAAGAGACAGAGACAAGUAGGACUACAUAGCAGUUGGAGGUCCAUAGUGAGACCCUGUCUCAAAAAAGCAAUAAAACCAUCUUGCAGCUACCAUCUAUGCAUAAGACACACCUGUCCCACCCAUCUGCCAGUAGAGUCAGACACAUCUGUCCACUAAACCUCAUUAAUUCAUGAAAGGAGGGAUGCUGUACAGGAUCCAGCUGCCCAAGACCCUGUAAGAGAAAAUUCUCUGAGGUAGGCCUCCUGAUACCCAGUAGGCCCACUGUCAGCUCCUCUCGGAUGGAACUAUGUAACGCCAGGAAGGCCCAGGACCAAAGAUACGUUGAGGAAACUGAGUUCCCCAACAGUUCUCUGACAGUCCUGAGCCUUCUGGGAUCCACAGACUGGAAUUGUUACCACCUUCUCUUCCUCACCAGCCUCUGCUUUUAAGCUGAGUGCUUUUUACCUCCACACUCCUUGGAUCUACCUCUUCCAAUACCGAGAACUGGCCUGCGCUCCCCUAUGUGUGGGAGUUCCCCAAGAACUACGGCUAUACUGGGUUAGCUCCUCUUAACAGGCUACGCUUGUAAAAAUGCCUAUGGGUUUUCUAAGUCAAAUGUUAAACCAGCUAAGCUUGGUAGCACCUGCCUGUGUUCUCAAAGCUGAGAAAACUGAAGCUGCAGGUUACAGAAACCCUGUCUUAAAACAACAAAACCCUCACCUCCCAAUCCCACAAAACCAAAUAAACACAUGCACCAAACUUCACCUUUGGCUCUACAGCUGAACAUGAUGCACCACACUCCACACUUGGCUGUAAGUCUGUAGGUGAAGAUGGAGGGGGGGUGGCAUUCAAGGGAAAUCAAAUACUGAGCUGACACUGGGGGUCUCUCUCUCAUGAUUUUCCUGGGCAGCCGUAAACCUAUACUCCAACUGGAAGAAAGCCUCUUAGGUCCCACUUGGUCAAUGAGUUUGUUAGGGUUACAAGAGUAAGCAUUUGAGGAGUGAGAGUGGCUAAGCUGCCCACAAAACACUCAGAGGGCCCUAAUGACUGGGUCCAGCCCCUCCAGAUGCAUGGGGUCCAAGCUCCUCUGUGCAGAGUAAAAAGCCUACGCUCAAGACUUGAAAACCCACCAACUCCCCUACUCUGGAACGUCCCAGCGCCCCCCGAUUCACCUGAGCAGAGGCAACCAUCUUCUGAGUUUUUCCCUCCCAAUAAAUCUCCUGUCUG